CUCGACAGUGCGCGGGAAACCUUCGCUCUAGUCAACAUCGUCCACGAGCACCAUCCACGAGAUGAGAAAUGAAGCUCUACAAUAUUGACGGCAGGUUACGAGCUCGUGAAAAUGCUACGCAAAAUACUAAAACCGAAGCCUUCGGCCCCGUUGGAUCGACCCUCUACCCUUCGAUCGGCGCCGCUGCUGCGAUUUUACUUCUGGCCAUCGUCGGUACGGUCUUCGGCUUACGCCGAAGACAAAAACAGCUUUCGCCGGGUCCCAGCAGCUGCGAAGGGAUAGUCGUCUACCCCUCGCAGGGACCGGCGCCAACCUUCGUCACGAAGGACGUAGUUUUCAACCUCCCGAUACUUCGAUCCGCGAAUUCGACCGGGGACAUAUUCUCCGACCUUGACCCGGAGGACCUACCGAUGUCCAUGGAGAGGCCCCAACCCCGUGCGAUACGGUCGAAUUCUUUCGGAAGUUACGGGCUCGGAGGGUCGCUGGGGUAUCUGGAACCGGACCUUUACAGAACAAUGCCAUCGGAAGAUCCGUACCCCGAAGGUCACAUAGGUCGUAUUUGGGUGAAGUUGAGUCACGAGUCAGAAGCUGAGCAAGUUACGGUGACGCUUUUGAAGGCCAGAAAUCUUCCCUCGCGUCCCGGAGGAAGCUGCGAUCCAAUCGUCAGACUUCAUCUCACGCCCGGUGAUCGUCGGCACGUUCAAUCCCGGCAAAAAAGAAGAGAAUGCAACCCAAAGUUUGACGAAACGUUCGUGUUACAGGUGCCGAACGGUGAUUUGACCGGGAAAACUUUGAGAAUUUCGGUGAUCGACGGUGGACGUCCCAAGCGAAAUUCUACGAUCGGUUACGCGGCUUUGGCUUUGGAUGGAUUACUCCCGGAUGGUGAGCCGAGGAUCUUUCAAUUAGAUCUGGACAAAGAACCGCCGGAUCACAGUGCUCGCGGUGAAGUUCUCCUUUCGCUUCAAUACAACGAUCAUUCCGGCCGUUUGACUUUGACGGUAAUGGAAGCGAAAGGCCUGAGGCAAGGAGUCGUCGAAGUUUGCGCCAGAGCAACGCUUUCCAAACAUUGCAAGCCCCUGAAAACGAGAAGAACCGCGCUCGCCAGACCCAGGCAGGGGACUUGGCCGUUCAGCGAAGCCCUCCACUUCCGGCUGAGCGGUCCGGACGCGAGCCUCACGGGCUCACUGGCUGUGAGUCUUUUGGCACGCGGAACGAAAGAAAGGGCUUUGGGUCGGGUUGUUUUAGGACCAUACAUGUUCGCCAGAGGCCCUGCGCUCGAGCAUUGGACCGCAGCGUUUUCGAGACCACGGGAACCAACGCAAAGGUGGCACACACUCUCCUAAAGGAUUUACUACGACCAAAAUUAUAUUUAAAAAAUCCAAUCACCGUUGCGUAGAGUACCAAAAUAAUUCUAUACCGACAUUUAACAUUUGGGUCGAGGAUUGCCGAUAUCGAUUGUUAGUAGAAUUGUCGUCAGGAUUAUUUACCAA
rnacentral:misc_RNA from 1 species